CUACUCGGGUUUCUAAUCCUGUUUGCUCCCCACGCUUUCGCAUCUCAGUGUCAGUGUCAGCCCAGAAGGUCGCCUUCGCCACUGGUAUUCCUCCAGAUAUCUACGCAUUUCACCGCUACACCUGGAAUUCUACCUUCCUCUUCUGCACUCUAGUUUGUCAGUUCUUUAUCCAGUUCCUAUGUUAAGCAUAGGGAUUUCAAAUAAAGCUUAACAAACCACCUACAUGCCCUUUACGCCCAGUAAUUCUGAUUAACGCUUGCACCCUCCGUUUUACCGCGGCGGCUGGCAC
rnacentral:rRNA from 1 species